rnacentral:rRNA from 1 species
GACGAACGCUGGCGGCGUGCCUAAUACAUGCAAGUAGGACGCAAUUGCGAACGGGUGAGUAACGCGUCGGUAACUACCUAUGAGAGGGGGAUAACUAUUGGAAACGAUAGCUAAUACCGCAUACUAGUAGAUGGACCUGCGGUGUAUUAGGUAGUAGGUAGGGUAAUGGCCUACCUAGGCAACGAUACAUAGGCGACCUGGUAGGGGGAUCCGCCAAACUGGGAAUGGGAACCGGCCCAGACCCCUACGGGAGGCAGCAGGAGGGAAUGUGUGGCAAUUGGGAGAACCUUGACCGGGCAACGGCGCGUUAGGUAAGAAGGGUCUCGGAUCCGAAAGCCCUGUUGAUAAGGAAGCGGUACUUAACCAGAAAGCGACGGCUAACUACGUGCCAGCAGCCGCGGUAAUAC